rnacentral:rRNA from 1 species
UACGUAGGGACCGAGCGUUGUCCGGAAAUCAUUGGGCGUAAAGAGCGUGUAGGCGGCCACUUAAGUCCUGCGUGAAAUCUUGCGGCUCAACCGCAAGCGGUCGGUGGGAAACUGGGUGGCUAGAGUGCGGGAGAGGAGAGUGGAAUUCCUGGUGUAGCGGUGAAAUGCGUAGAUAUCGGGAGGAACACCUGUGGCGAAAGGCGGCUCAC